GCCUCCGUGGCGCAACUGGAUAGCGCAGCGAGUUUCUACCUCGCGGGUUGCGGGUUCGAAUCCUGCCGGGGGCG
rnacentral:tRNA from 1 species